UACGGGAGGCAGCAGUGGGGAAUAUUGCACAAUGGGCGCAAGCCUGAUGCAGCCAUGCCGCGUGUAUGAAGAAGGCCUUCGGGUUGUAAAGUACUUUCAGUCGUGAGGAAGGUGUUAAGGUUAAUAACCUUAGCAAUUGACGUUAGCGACAGAAGAAGCACCGGCUAACUCCGUUCCAGCAGCCGCGGUAAUACGGAGGGUGCGAGCGUUAAUCGGAAUUACUGGGCGUAAAGGGCACGCAGGCGGUUAAUUAAGUUGGAUGUGAAAUCCCCCGGGGCUUAACCUGGGAAUGGCAUUCAAGACUGGUUAGCUAGAGUCUUGUAGAGGGGGGUAGAAUUCCAUGUGUAGCGGUGAAAUGCGUAGAGAUGUGGAGGAAUACCGGUGGCGAAGGCGGCCCCUGGACAAAGACUGACGCUCAUGUGCGAAAGCGUGGGGAGCAAACAGGGAUUAGAUACC
rnacentral:rRNA from 1 species